rnacentral:lncRNA from 1 species
GGGUUGGUUUUUGGUAGUGCGAUUAACUUGUUGUAACUUUGUAAUUUUUGGGUUAUAUAGUUUGUGUUUGCUUCUGGAUAUUUAUGGCUCUGGGUUUAAGGUUUAGGUAAAUCUGUAUUUUGUGGAUGUUUUAUAUGUAUGCUCGAGUUAUAUGGUUAUAGGCUUUUCUAUCUUGGUUUAAACUUUCUCGAUAUAUGGUAGUUUGUAGAGUAUAAACAAGGGGUCUUUUUGUGUUUUUUGGUAUAAAUGGUUUUUCAAAUAUCUUGUUCAUGUUCUGAUAUCUUUGUCCACUAACUCCUUUCCUUAUACCUGCAGUUUUAGAUUAAUAAAUGUCAUGGGUUUUGUGGAGUG